UACCAGCUCUCCGAGUGGUAGGGAUGAUUAUUGGGCUUAAAGCGUCCGUAGCCGGCUUGGCAAGUUUCCUGUUAAACUCUGCUACUUAAUCGUUGAAUCGCGGGAAAUACUACUAGGCUAGGAGGCGGGAGAGGUCAACGGUACUUCUGGGGUAGGGGUGAAAUCCUAUAAUCCCGGGAGGACCACCAGUGGCGAAGGCUGUUGACUAGAACGCGCUCGACGGUGAGGGACGAAAGCUGGGGGAGCGAACCGGAUUAGAUACCCGGGUAGUCCCAGCUGUAAACGAUGCGGGCUAGGUGUUGGGAUGGCUACGUGCCAUUUCAGUGCCGCAGGGAAGCCAUUAAGCCCGCCGCCUGGGGAGUACGGCCGCAAGGCUGAAACUUAAGGAAUUGGCGGGGGAGCACCACAAGGCGUGAAGCUUGCGGUUC
rnacentral:rRNA from 1 species